rnacentral:rRNA from 1 species
ACGACUCUCGGCAACGGAUAUCUCGGCUCUCGCAUCGAUGAAGAACGUAGCGAAAUGCGAUACCUGGUGUGAAUUGCAGAAUCCCGCGAACCAUCGAGUAUUUGAACGCAAGUUGCGCCCGAGGCCACUCGGCCGAGGGCACGCCUGCCUGGGCGUCACGC